UGUAUUUUUAGUAGAGACAGGGUUUCUUUAUGUUGGCCAGGCUGGUCUCGAACUCCUGACCUCAAGUGAUCCGCCUUCCUUGGCCUCCCAAAGUGUUGGGAUUACAGGCAUGAGCCACUGCUCCUGGGCCAUAGCUCUCUUUUAGAAUUCAGUUUUGAAUAGGUUUACCAAUGUGUUUGGGAAAGAAAAUCCCCUAGAUGUUUCAAAAAGAGUUUGUUGGAAAUUGUCACCUCCAUAACUUACAUCUCUUACUGAGCAGAACUAGCUUCCUGGUAACCAUGAAGUAAUUAAUGAAGAAGAGCAAUCUCAGAUGUUAAUUUUAGACCAGAAGAAGGACUUUAAAAGAGCUUCUCAGAAGAGAAUGGGAUGUAGAAAUUUCCAACAAGGGCAUGCAGGAGUGUGUGUCUGAGAGAGUCUUUUUGGAACUUCUUACUCUCAUUUAUAUUCAUCUGUUUUAUAUAUUGGGUACUGUAGAAGAUUUUAUCUGAAAAACAUAUUCAACUGUGACAGGAGGGGGAGGAGCCAAGAUGGCCGAAUAGGAACAGCUCCGGUCUACAGCUCCCAGCCUGAGCGACGCAGAAGACGGGUGAUUUCUGCAUUUCCAUCUGAGUGAACAUAGAUUCCUUCAGUAAAUAUUGGGAAAACAUUUGCUUCAGGCCCAUUACUGGGUACCGCUUUGAUACAGAGGACACACCAAGGAACAAGACAGAUAGGACCUCUGCCUCUGGUAAGUUUGCAUUCCAGAGGGAGGAGAAGACAAUAAGCAAGCAAGCCAUCAAGACCACGUCAGAUGAGACGAAUAAAGUCAGACAGCUUCCAAGGAGUGGAUGCUUAUGGAGAGAUCACAUGGAGCCUUGUAGCUGAUUUAUAAUCUCAUGGUCCUCAUUCAUACAUCAAACCCCUGAAGGCCUGGCAUUUUUAUCUCCCGACUCAACCUGCAUGCUACCAGAAGCUCGACAAAAUUACGCCUGUUUAGGAAAAGACUGGAGGAAUUCGUGGAGGAAUUCUUGGAGGGGGAACACUGAAGUCCGCCUGUGUCUCCCCUCCAGAGUGUAGGUCCCUGAGGGCAGUCACCUGAUCUGUCUCAGUCACUGCAGUGUCCCCAAACAGAGCACCGCCUCAGGCACACAGAGGGCAGUGGUGAGGACUAAAGGAGGCGAUGAGAAGAGAGUCCCCACAAGGAGUCUGGCACAGAGGAAGUUUCGACGUAUGCUGUCCAUUGCAACUUCGACUUAUGCUGCGUUUCUGUGUCGGAACAGUGGAAGACAUUCAACAAGCACUUUGUCUCAGAGGCUUAGUUACAAUUAAUUGAGCCUGAAAGACCAUAGACUUGAAAAAGCCCUCAAAGUGAUAAAGGUAAAAAGAAAAAUAAAAUGACAUCUAGCAGGCACUGAGGGCUCUACAACGUGUGGCUAGCCUGUAUUCAGCACCCUACAGUGUGCAGCCAGGCUGUGCUCAGCAUCCUACAGUGUGCAGCCAGGCUGUGCUCAGUACUCUACAGUGAGUAGCCAGCCUGUGCUCAGCACUCCGCAGUGAGUGGCCAGCCUGUGCUCAGCACUCUACAGUAUGUGGCCAAACUGUGCUCAGCACUCCACAGUGAGUGGCCAGCCUGUGGUCAGGACUCUACAGUGAGUGGCCAGUCUAUACUCUGCACUCUACAGUGAGUGGCCAGCCUGUACACAGCACUCCACAGUCGUCAUCUUUUCAUCAUAAAUCUAAUGGCCACUUAAUGAGGUAGACCUGUCCCAUGACUUGAACUGAUUUCAAAAACUCAAAACUCAUACUCUCUUGCAUUUGGCAACCAAAACACAACCCACUUCCUGGGACCUUCUGACAGCCAGGCCACGUUGAGCAAACACCGAGCCCUCUUCAGAGUUGGUCAGCAGCCAGGUCAGCAGCGACUGGCAAGGCGACUGCUUGCCAGGUCUCCUCCAGCAUGAGCUUGGGAUGGAGCUGAAUCCCUUUCAUGCACAAGCAGAAUUUGAAAAGGUGCGGGGCCACACUAGUACCUCUGCGUCUCCUGCCAGAGCCCACCAGCUUAUUUUGCUUCUUCAGAGUCUGUAAAGCAUCCUUCUGGAUGACGAAUGCCUUCCGAGGCUCCAGCCCACCAAGCCUUCCUCUAAGUUUCAGAUGCAGAGGCCACCUCGGAGAACUGUGAUUGUCUCCCUGCAUCUCCCCAGUGCCCCCGGAUGAGUGCCACCCUCCUCACCUGCUAUCACAAAGACAAGAAAGGCCAUUCAUAAUUUAAGUCAGCCCUUUCUUUCCUGCACGCCACCAACAUGAGUCAGAUGCUGGAGGAAAAAUUGAACUCUUUCUCCCAGGAUACACCAAAGAUCAAGCAGAAUCUCAUUAAGGCUCACUUCAAAGACUCGUCCUUUAUUUCCAUACAAACAAGUUUAAAUUAUCGUGUGUGAAUCUGCUGUUAGCAGGGACUCUGUUCCAUUAUGCAUGAUUCCUUACUGUUCAUAUCAUGAAUAAUGGGCAGUGCUCCGUUAGCGAUUUCCAGUAAUAUGCUAAACUUUGGGAGUGGUCAUGGUGUUAGGUUAAAGUUCUGGUGUUUGCCUAUUUUAUUUCUUACUCAAGCUAUAAUGGCCUGCUUCAUCAAAAUAGGUUUCACAGUCUUAUUGUAAUGAACACAGCAUAACACAUGUUGUGGCUAUGAUUUCCUUAUUAUUAUUAUUGAAUAUUUAUUGAGCACUUACUAUGUGUAAGGGAUGGUGCUCAGUGUAUGCAUUGCAUGCAUAAUAUUUAAUCUUCCGGAAUCCCAUGAAAUAGCUAUGAUGAUUAUUCCCAUUUUACUGGUGAAAAAAACUGAUAAUUUGAGCAGGAUCUAAAUUAUCCACAGAUAAAACUUUUUUGUGUGUUUUUGAGACAGGGUCUCACUUUGUGACCCAGGCUGGAGUGCAGUGGUGCAAUUAUGGCUCACUGCAGCCUUGACUUUCCAGGCUCAAGCGAUCCUCCCACCUCAGCCUCCUGAGUAGCUGGGACUACAGGCAUGCACCAUCACACUGGCUAAUGUUUUAAACAAUUUUUGUAGAGAUGGUGUCUUGCUAUUUUGCCCAAGCUGGUCUGGAACUCCUGGGCUCAAGCAAUCUGCCCACUUCAGCCUCCCAAGAUGAUGGGAGUACAGGCAUGAGCCACCGUGCCUGGCCUGAUAGAACUGUUAAUAAAUGGUAAUGCUGAUUCAAAUCAGUUGGUCUGACUUCAGAUACUCCUAAUUAUAAAAUACUUUUUACAACGCUAUUACUUGCUGAAGAGCUUUGGCAGAUAAUCGAUGAUUUGGUAAGCAGGUAUUUGGAUGUCCAGUGCACAUUUCUCAUGUCCAGAUGAGAAAUGAAUGCUCAGGGGAUUGCUUGAUACCUGGGAGUGAGAAAAUCCUUGUUCAAGUACUGGUUUUGACUUCACUUAAUCUUGGGCAAGUCAUCCAGUCUUCCUGGAUGUGCUGAGGUGGUUGCAUUAUUGCCUUUGUAAUUUUUUUUCUUCAUUUUUUUAUUAUACUUUAAGUUCUAGGGUACAUGUGCACAACGUGCAGGUUUGUUACAUAUGUAUAUAUGUGUCAUGUUGGUGUGCUGCACCCAUUAACUCAUCAUUUUCAUAAGGUAUAUCUCCUAAUGCUAUCCCUUCCCCCUCCCCCCACUCCAUGACAGGCCCCUCUGUGUGAUGUUCCCCAUCCUGUGUCUAAGUGUUCUCAUUGUGCAAUUCCCACCUAUGAGCGAGAGAGAACAUGCGGUGUUUGGUUUUCUGUCCUUGCGAUAGUUUGCUCAGAAUGAUGGUUUCCAGCUUCAUCCAUGUCCCUACAAAGGACAUGAACUCAUCCUUUUUUAUGGCUACGUAGUAUUCCAUGGUGUAUAUGUGCCAAAUUUUCUUAAUCCAGUCUAUCAUUGGUAGACAUUUGGAUUGGUUCCAAGUCUUUGCUAUUGUGAAUAGUGCCGCAAUAAACAUACAUGUGCAUAUGUCUUUAUAGCAGCAUGAUUUAUAAUCCUUUGGGUAUAUACCCAGUAAUGGGAUGGCUGGGUCAAAUGGUAUUUCUAGUUCUAGAUCCUUG
rnacentral:lncRNA from 10 species